rnacentral:sRNA from 1 species
UAUGUGUGGUUGGGGAAUUCAUGUGGAGGUCAGAGUGGAAGCAGGUGUGAGAGGGUCCAGCAGAAGGAAACAUGGCUGCCAAAGUGUUUGAGUCCAUUGGCAAGUUUGGCCUGGCCUUAGCUGUUGCAGGAGGCGUGGUGAACUCUGCCUUAUAUAAUGGUGAGGCAUGGAGGGACAGUGGGUCACUGCACUUUCCUAAGAGUUUUCUGUUGGUCUGCAUAGCCCAUGUGACACUCUUGAUGGUAGCUGCUGUCAGUGAAUGUGUUUGUGGCCAAGAGGGCUCACCUCCUGCCAUUUCAUACCAUAGGACUGCAUUGUUAUCAGAGCCCCUGACCUUUCAGUCAUAGGUUCUCUCAGAGCCUGUAUUCAAAAAGAGCUUCCCAGCCCACUUCCUAGUUGGAUGUGUCCAGUGGCUCCUGUCAAGGUGAAGUGAAGCCACACCACCCAAAUGCUGCCGCACAGUGUCUGGAUUUCCCUGGCUAUCUGAAAUGGAGAUCUCAUUUGUUCUCCUCUGCUUGCAUGUGGAAUAACAGCAAAGGCUGCAGAUCUGUUUGGGUGACCUUGUCCCGAACAGGAGCUUUUGCUGUGCUGAAUUCGGGUAGUUUCAGAGAAAGUAUCUUUGAGAUGCAUUGCCCAGCUUUUAACAGUGU